AGAUUGAACGCUGGCGGCAGGCCUAACACAUGCAAGUCGAGCGGUAGAGAGGUGCUUGCAUCUCUUGAGAGCGGCGGACGGGUGAGUAAUGCCUAGGAAUCUGCCUAGUGGUAGGGGAUAACGUUCGGAAACGGACGCUAAUACCGCAUACGUCCUACGGGAGAAAGCGGGGGACCUUCGGGCCUCGCGCCAUUAGAUGAGCCUAGGUCGGAUUAGCUAGUUGGUGAGGUAAUGGCUCACCAAGGCGACGAUCCGUAACUGGUCUGAGAGGAUGAUCAGUCACACUGGAACUGAGAC
rnacentral:rRNA from 1 species